rnacentral:lncRNA from 10 species
AAUCUGUGAGGCAGGAAGCCAGCUAGUAGGACUUUCACUUUGUUGGGAGUUCCUAUUUCCUUUUUUUCCUCUUUGCCCAAUAAAUUCAAUUUUUCUCACCCUUCAAAGUGCCUGUGAGCCUAAUCUCUCCUGGCUAUGUGACAAGGACCCCGUUUUUAGCUGAACUAAGGAGAAAGUCCUACAACAUAACUAGAUGAGGUUACGGCAGGCACUAAAUCUGCCCCGAGUGCUUGACUCAGCCUCACUUGAUCCGCUGCAACAGCCUCCCCUCUGGACUGAGAUGGUGAGCAUCAGCCAAGGCAGGACUCGGCACACGGUGCAGUCAGCAGCCUCUCCAGGGACAUGCCAAGGUUUCCAGGAGGCCAGUCUUUGCUGGAAAUUUCUCAGUGACCACUUUUCCCCCUUUCUUUCUUUCUUUUCUUUCUUUCUUUUUUUUUUUUUUUUUUUGAGGUGGAGUCUCACUCUGUUGCCCAGGCUGGAAUGCAGUGGCGUGAUCUCGGCUCACUGCAACCUCCACCUCCCUGGUUCGAGCAAUUCCCCUGCCUCAGCCUCCGGAGUAGCUGGGAUUACAGGCGCACGCCACCACGCACAGCUAAUUUUUUUUUUUUUUUUUUUGUAUUUUUAGUAGAGACAGGGUUUUGCCACGUUGGCCAGACUGGUCUCAAACUCCUGACCUCAGGCUAACUGCCUGCCUCGGCCUCCCAAAGUGCUGGGAUUACAGGCGUGAGCCACCGUGCCUGGCCUUCCCCCUUUCUUUACCUGCCUUCCUGUUGGAUGGAUACAUGGCUAUUUUCUUACUGUUAGAGACACAUUCUCUCUCUCUCUCUCUCUCUCUCUCUCUCUCUCUCUGUCCAUCUCUCCUCUCCCUUUGUCUCUCUCAUUAAAGCAAAUAACAUAGCAGGAGGAAUGGGAAAAGUAGCAAAUCCCAGGCUAGUCUCAUCAUUUCUGGGCUGAAAUGGAACCACUUGUGGUGUGUGGAAUCGUGGCAUCCGGCAUGCCACAUUCCCUGCUCCCUGUUGUCCUGCCCUGUCUGUCUGCUACAAUCACCUGGAGCCCCUCCCUCAACCAAGACAUCAACAACAGAAACAAAACUGCUUCCUCUGACCAGCAGGAAAUUUCCAGCCAUUUGAAGUGCUGUCUGCUCCUUGGCCUUCUGGCAUGAUUGUAAGCUUCCUGAGGCCUCCCUAGAGGAUGAGUACAUGGCAGCAUCAUGCUUCCUGUACAGGCCGCAGAACUGUGAGUCAAUUAAAAUUCUUCUUUAUAAACUACUCAGUCCCAGGUAUUUAUUUAUUUAUAGCAAUGCAAAAACAAUCUAAUACAAGGCCUUAUCAGACACUGAAUCUGCUCAUGCCUUGAUCUUGGACUUCUCAGCCUCCAGAACUGUGAGAAAUAAAGGCUUGAGCCACUCGUCUAUGAUAUUUUAGUUAUAGCAAUCAAAAUGGACUAAGACAACCACUAUGCCUGUGGUGGCACUGUGAAUAGAGAGAGAGGGAACAGGGAAAUAUCUAGAUCUGUGUGCUGAUACCACUUUUUUUCUCCACAUUAUUCUCCUUUUUCCUUGAUUAUAUUUAACUUCUGUGGUGCUCAGUUGUAGGUGGUAUAGAAAACUUGUUGAGUUGACUUUCCCAUGUGGGCUUGGAAGAGUACACAAAGUGCUGACAACCUGUCC